UACGUAGGGUGCGAGCGUUGUCCGGAUUUAUUGGGCGUAAAGGGCUCGUAGGCGGCGUGUCGCGUCGGGAGUGAACGACCGGGGCUUAACCCCGGUUCUGCUUCCGGUACGGGCAUGCUGGAGUGUGGCAGGGGAGACUGGAAUUCCUGGUGUAGCGGUGAAAUGCGCAGAUAUCAGGAGGAACACCGGUGGCGAAGGCGGGUCUCUGGGCAGUAACUGACGCUGAGGAGCGAAAGCGUGGGGAGCGAACAGG
rnacentral:rRNA from 1 species